rnacentral:misc_RNA from 1 species
GAAAUGCGAUAAGUAAUGUGAAUUGCAGAAUUCAGCGAAUCAUCGAAUCUUUGAACGCACAUUGCGCUCGCCAGUAUUCUGGCGAGCAUGCCUGUUCGAGCGUCAUUUCAACCAUCAAGCUCUGCUUGCGUUGGGGAUCCGCGGCUGCCCGCGGUCCCUCAAAAACAGUGGCGGGCUCGCUAGUCACACCGAGCGUAGUAACUCUACAUCGCUAUGGUCGUGCGGCGGGUUCUUGCCGUAAAACCCCCAAUUUCUAAGGUUGACCUCGGAUCAGGUAGGAAUACCCGCUGAACUUAAGC